rnacentral:rRNA from 1 species
AGACGGAGGAGGCAAGCGUUGUCCGGAAUCAUUGGGCGUAAAGAGCGCGUAGGUGGUUUUUCAAGUCGUCUGUGAAAUCUCCAGGCUCAACUUGGAGCUUGCAGAUGAUACUGAUUAACUUGAGUGCAGUAAGGGAAAGUGGAAUUCCUGGUGUAGCGGUGAAAUGCGCAGAUAUCAGGAAGAACACCGGUAGCGAAGGCGGCUUUCUAGGCUGCUACUGACACUGAGGCGCGAAAGCUAGGGGAGCAAACAGGAUUAGAUACCCUGGUAGUCCUAGCCGUAAACGAUGGAUACUAGGUGUGGGAAGUUAUCGACGCUUCCUGUGCCGAAGCUAACGCAUUAAGUAUCCCGCCUGGGGAGUACGGCCGCAAGGCUAAA